rnacentral:rRNA from 1 species
UUGAACGCUGGCGGCAUGCUUUACACAUGCAAGUCGAACGGUAACAGGCCUUCGGGUGCUGACGAGUGGCGAACGGGUGAGUAAUGCAUCGGAACGUACCCAGAGGUGGGGGAUAACGCAGCGAAAGCUGUGCUAAUACCGCAUGUGAUCUGAGGAUGAAAGCGGGGGACCGAGCAGCAAUGUUUGGCCUCGCGCCUUUGGAGCGGCCGAUGUCGGAUUAGCUAGUUGGUGGGGUAAAGGCCUACCAAGGCGACGAUCCGUAGCUGGUCUGAGAGGACGACCAGCCACACUGGGACUGAGACACGGCCCAGACUCCUACGGGAGGCAGCAGUGGGGAAUUUUGGACAAUGGGCGCAAGCCUGAUCCAGCAAUGCCGCGUGCGGGAAGAAGGCCUUCGGGUUGUAAACCGCUUUUGACAGGAACGAAACGGUGUCCGCUAAUACCGGGCGCUAAUGACGGUACCUGCAGAAUAAGCACCGGCUAACUACGUG